UACGAAGGGGGCUAGCGUUGCUCGGAAUCACUGGGCGUAAAGCGCACGUAGGCGGCUUUUUAAGUCAGGGGUGAAAUCCUGGAGCUCAACUCCAGAACUGCCUUUGAUACUGAGAAGCUUGAGUCCGGAAGAGGAGAGUGGAAUUCCUGGUGUAGCGGUGAAAUGCGCAGAUAUCAGGAAGAACACCCGUGGCGAAGGCGGCUCUCUGGGCCGGUACUGACGCUGAGGAGCGAAAGCAUGGGGAGCGAACAGG
rnacentral:rRNA from 1 species